UCCCACAUAGCUCAGUCAGUAAAGCAUUUGUCUGCAAUGUGGGAAACCUGGGUUCAAUUCCUGGUUUGGGAA
rnacentral:tRNA from 1 species